GGGGAAGGGCCCUAGCUCAGUGGGAGAGCACCGGCCUUGCAUGCGGAAGGUCCCAGGUUCAAUCCCCGGCGUCUCCU